rnacentral:rRNA from 1 species
UCCAAGUUGCUUCGGCGGCGCGGCACCCCUUAACGGGGGCGCCGCAGCCCUGCCUCUCCGGAGGUUCGGGGCGCCCGCCGGAGGUACGAAACUCUGUAUUAUAGUGGCAUCUCUGAGUAUAAAACAAAUAAGUUAAAACUUUCAACAACGGAUCUCUUGGUUCUGGCAUCGAUGAAGAACGCAGCGAAAUGCGAUAAGUAAUGUGAAUUGCAGAAUUCAGUGAAUCAUCGAAUCUUUGAACGCACAUUGCGCCCGGUAGUACUCUACCGGGCAUGCCUGUUCGAGCGUCAUUUCAACCCUCAAGCCCUGCUUGGUGUUGGGGCCCUACGGCUGCCGUAGGCCCUGAAAGGAAGUGGCGGGCUCGCUACAACUCCGAGCGUAGUAAUUCAUUAUCUCGCUAGGGAGGUUGCGGCGUGCUCCUGCCGUUAAAGACCCAUCUUUAACCAAGGUUGACCUCGGAUCAGGUAGGAAUACCCGCUGAACUUAAGCAUAUCAAUAAGCGGAGGAAAAGAAACCAACAGGGAUUGCCCUAGUAACGGCGAGUGAAGCGGCAACAGCUCAAAUUUGAAAUCUGGCUUCGGCCCGAGUUGUAAUUUGUAGAGGAUGCUUUUGGUGAGGUGCCUUCUGAGUUCCCUGGAACGGGACGCCAGAGAGGGUGAGAGCCCCGUAUAGUCGGCCACCGAUCCUUUGUAAAGCUCCUUCGACGAGUCGAGUAGUUUGGGAAUGCUGCUCAAAAUGGGAGGUAUAUCUCUUCUAAAGCUAAAUAUA